ACGAAGGGUGCUAGCGUUGUUCGGAAUCACUGGGCGUAAAGCGCGCGUAGGCGGCCAUUCAAGUCAGAGGUGAAAUCCUGGAGCUUAACUCCAGAACUGCCUUUGAAACUGUAUGGCUAGAGUGUCGGAGGGGAUAGCGGAAUUGCUAAUGUAGAGGUGAAAUUCGUAGAUAUUAGCAGGAACACCGGUGGCGAAGGCGGCUAUCUGGACGACAACUGACGCUGAGGCGCGAAAGCGUGGGGAUCAAACAGGA
rnacentral:rRNA from 1 species